rnacentral:rRNA from 1 species
CCCGCGGUGCAUUAGCUAGUUGGUAAGGUAACGGCUUACCAAGGCGACGAUGCAUAGCCGAGUUGAGAGACUGAUCGGCCACAUUGGGACUGAGACACGGCCCAAACUCCUACGGGAGGCAGCAGUAGGGAAUCUUCCACAAUGGACGCAAGUCUGAUGGAGCAACGCCGCGUGAGUGAAGAAGGUUUUCGGAUCGUAAAGCUCUGUUGUUGGUGAAGAAGGAUAGAGGUAGUAACUGGCCUUUAUUUGACGGUAAUCAACCAGAAAGUCACGGCUAACUACGUGCCAGCAGCCGCGGUAAUACGUAGGUGGCAAGCGUUGUCCGGAUUUAUUGGGCGUAAAGCGAGCGCAGGCGGAAAAAUAAGUCUAAUGUGAAAGCCCUCGGCUUAACCGAGGAACUGCAUCGGAAACUGUUUUUCUUGAGUGCAGAAGAGGAGAGUGGAACUCCAUGUGUAGCGGUGGAAUGCGUAGAUAUAUGGAAGAACACCAGUGGCGAAGGCGGCUCUCUGGUCUG